rnacentral:misc_RNA from 1 species
GUUGAUAUCAGCUCAAGACCCUUGUCCGCUAUGACCGUAGGGGAGAUUAUUUUCAUGUAAACUCCCGUUCCUAGAAGUGUUACCAAAAGAAGAAGUGAUGCCAAACCGUUGCAUCGGUAGUGAAGGCGGGAUCCGUCGGCGAGAACGGCGCCGGGAACCAGCUUGCCGGGGAGAACAGAUCCAGAGAUCGCCAAGUAACCGAAGUAGUAGCUGAGGAGAGUAACCGAGGACCAAGACGGAGCCAAUGCUGAGAGAAUCGCCG